UACGAAGGGGGCUAGCGUUGCUCGGAAUCACUGGCGUAAGCGCACGUAGGCGGAUUGUUAAGUCAGGGGUGAAAUCCUGGAGCUCAACUCCAGAACUGCCUUUGAUACUGAGGAUCUUGAGUUCGGGAGAGGUGAGUGGAACUGCGAGUGUAGAGGUGAAAUUCGUAGAUAUUCGCAAGAACACCAGUGGCGAAGGCGGCUCACUGGACCGAUACUGACGCUGAGGCACGAAAGCGUGGGGAGCCAAACAGG
rnacentral:rRNA from 1 species